AUGAACGCUAGCUACAGGCUUAACACAUGCAAGUCGAGGGGCAGCAUUUUAGUUUGCUUGCAAACUGAAGAUGGCGACCGGCGCACGGGUGAGUAACACGUAUCCAACCUACCGAUAACUCCGGAAUAGCCUUUCGAAAGAAAGAUUAAUACCGGAUAGCAUACGAAUAUCGCAUGAUAUUUUUAUUAAAGAAUUUCGGUUAUCGAUGGGGAUGCGUUCCAUUAGUUUGUUGGCGGGGUAACGGCCCACCAAGACUACGAUGGAUAGGGGUUCUGAGAGGAAGGUCCCCCACAUUGGAACUGAGACACGGUCCAAACUCCUACGGGAGGCAGCAGUGAGGAAUAUUGGUCAAUGGGCGAGAGCCUGAACCAGCCAAGUAGCGUGAAGGAUGAAGGCUCUAUGGGUCGUAAACUUCUUUUAUAUGGGAAUAAAGUUUUCCACGUGUGGAAUUUUGUAUGUACCAUAUGAAUAAGGAUCGGCUAACUCCGUGCCAGCAGCCGCGGUAAUACGGAGGAUCCGAGCGUUAUCCGGAUUUAUUGGGUUUAAAGGGAGCGUAGGUGGAUUGUUAAGUCAGUUGUGAAAGUUUGCGGCUCAACCGUAAAAUUGCAGUUGAAACUGGCAGUCUUGAGUACAGUAGAGGUGGGCGGAAUUCGUGGUGUAGCGGUGAAAUGCUUAGAUAUCACGAAGAACUCCGAUUGCGAAGGCAGCUCACUAGACUGUCACUGACACUGAUGCUCGAAAGUGUGGGUAUCAAACAGGAUUAGAUACCCUGGUAGUCCACACAGUAAACGAUGAAUACUCGCUGUUUGCGAUAUACAGUAAGCGGCCAAGCGAAAGCAUUAAGUAUUCCACCUGGGGAGUACGCCGGCAACGGUGAAACUCAAAGGAAUUGACGGGGGCCCGCACAAGCGGAGGAACAUGUGGUUUAAUUCGAUGAUACGCGAGGAACCUUACCCGGGCUUAAAUUGCAACAGAAUAUAUUGGAAACAGUAUAGCCGUAAGGCUGUUGUGAAGGUGCUGCAUGUUUGUCGGCAGCUCGUGCCGUGAGGUGUCGGCUUAAGUGCCAUAACGAGCGCAACCCUUAUCUUUAGUUACUAACAGGUUAUGCUGAGGACUCUAGAGAGACUGCCGUCGUAAGAUGUGAGGAAGGUGGGGAUGACGUCAAAUCAGCACGGCCCUUACGUCCGGGGCUACACACGUGUUACAAUGGGGGGUACAGAAGGCGGCUACCUGGUGACAGGAUGCUAAUCCCAAAAACCUCUCUCAGUUCGGAUCGAAGUCUGCAACCCGACUUCGUGAAGCUGGAUUCGCUAGUAAUCGCGCAUCAGCCAUGGCGCGGUGAAUACGUUCCCGGGCCUUGUACACACCGCCCGUCAAGCCAUGAAAGCCGGGGGUACCUGAAGUACGUAACCGCAAGGAGCGUCCUAGGGUAAAACUGGUAAUUGGGGCU
rnacentral:rRNA from 1 species